rnacentral:misc_RNA from 1 species
AAACUAAGCAAUCAAGUUGGCUACAACUGACUAUACGUCGUCGGUCUGAUAAUGCCUUGAUUUUGUUUCCGUUCAGAUCAACACUCAGACGGAGUCUAGUCAAGAAGUAUAACAAACAAGAAUUCAGCGGAAUUUCUAUUUUACUUUUUUUUCCAGACCCAUGCGCCACUGUACGCUGUGGUGGAUGCAAAACUGGAACAGUGCUCAGCCCUACACCAGAUGAGUGUUGUCGAUGCGUGAACGACCCAUGCGCCACGGUACGCUGUGGUGGAUGCAAAAAUGGAACAGUGCUCAGCCCUACACCAGACGAGUGCUGUCGAUGCGUGAACGAGCUGUGCGCUACUGUGCUCUGUGCGACCUGCAAGAGCGGAACAGUGUUCAGCCCUCUUCCCGAUGACUGCUGCCGAUGUAUAAAAGACCCAUGCGCCACUGUACGCUGUGGUGGAUGCAAAAAUGGAACAGUACUCAGCCCUACACCAGACCAGUGCUGUCGAUGCGUGAACGAUCCAUGCGCCACUGUGCGCUGUCGUGGCUGCAAUGAAGGAGCAGUGCUUAGCCCAGUUCUUGACAAUUGCUGCAGAUGUGUGCCAGCCCAAUCAUAGUUUCAGACUGUACUCUUGGCUUAUGCACGAAGCGGGGAGUGGUACAACUGCGUUGCAGCCCUCUCCUAGCGCCCAUUGUCGAUGUACUUAAGCAGUGUCCACGAAGCACCGUCACAUCUAAGUGGCUGACCACUACUCUACUCAAUAUACUAAAAAAUAGCGAGCUUCUUGAAGGUACUCAAAGUGAGCCCCUAUUGAAGCUUGUCAUUUGCACCGUUAAAAACAAUCUUCGCUUUCCUUGUAUGUGCAGCAAUAAACCUGCUCAAAUUGGUUGCAGUACUUUGUAAGCGCAAGUACUA